UAUGCUUGUCUCAAAGAUUAAGCCAUGCAUGUCUAAGUAUAAGCAAUUAUACCGCGAAACUGCGAAUGGCUCAUUAAAUCAGUUAUCGUUUAUUUGAUAGUACCUUACUACUUGGAUAACCGUGGUAAUUCUAGAGCUAAUACAUGCUAAAAACCCC
rnacentral:rRNA from 1 species